CCCCCUAUAGCUCAGCGGUAGAGCGUCCGGCUGUAGCCCGGAAGAUCCCCGGUUCGAUCCCGGGUGGGGGGA
rnacentral:tRNA from 1 species